rnacentral:rRNA from 1 species
GGGGAAUAUUGGACAAUGGGCGCAAGCCUGAUCCAGCCAUACCGCGUGGGUGAAGAAGGCCUUCGGGUUGUAAAGCCCUUUUGUUGGGAAAGAAAAGCAGCCGGUUAAUACCCGGUUGUUCUGACGGUACCCAAAGAAUAAGCACCGGCUAACUUCGUGCCAGCAGCCGCGGUAAUACGAAGGGUGCAAGCGUUACUCGGAAUUACUGGGCGUAAAGCGUGCGUAGGUGGUUGUUUAAGUCUGUCGUGAAAGCCCUGGGCUCAACCUGGGAAUUGCGAUGGAAACUGGGCGACUAGAGUGUGGCAGAGGAUAGUGGAAUUCCUGGUGUAGCAGUGAAAUGCGUAGAGAUCAGGAGGAACAUCCGUGGCGAAGGCGACUGUCUGGGCCAACACUGACACUGAGGCACGAAAGCGUGGGGAGCAAAC